rnacentral:rRNA from 1 species
UUUAAUUGAAGAGUUUGAUCAUGGCUCAGAUUGAACGCUGGCGGCAGGCCUAACACAUGCAAGUCGGGCGGUAACAGGGAGAAGCUUGCUUCUCCGCUGACGAGC